GCGCCAGGCCCUCCCCAAAACUUAAUAAAUCAGGACUUGGAUACACUUUUUAGGUGCCGUCACUGCUGAGCCUCCCCCACCAAUCUCUUUACAAUGGAUGUGUGCGUCACCUGUUUGGGUAGAGCAGUGGCAGCUCUCCAAACAAAAGUUGGAGGCUUUAAUUGAAAUUGUUAAUGAUUUACUACAAGCAAACACUAUCGAGCCCUCCUUGUCACCAUGGAACUCGCCUGUGUUUGUUGUACAAAAAAAGUCAGGAAAAUGGAGGAUGGUAACAGACUUAAGAGCUGUUAAUGCAGUUAUUAAACCUACGGGGGCGUUACAACCCGGUAUGUCCUCCCCCUCCAUGAUUCCUAAGGAAUGGCCUUUAAUUAUCAUUGACCUUAAGGAGUGCUUUUUUCAUAUUCCUUUAGACAAGUCAGACUGUGAAAAUUUGCUUUCACUAAACCUUCCAUUAGCAAUUCAGCUCCCGCAGCUAGAUAUCGAUGGAAAGUUUUACCUCGAGGAAUGAUUAACAGUCCUACUCUUUGUCAGUUGUUUGUUGGUACUGUGUUAAAACCUAUCCAACAGACUUUUAAAAAUAAUUACAUUCUUCAUUAUGUGGAUGAUAUACUGAUUGCUGCCCCCACUAAAGAUGAAUUAAUUCAAUGUUUUACCUCUUUAAAAUUAGCUGUUGCCAAUGCAGGACUCCACAUUUCUCCUGCUAAAAUUCAACCAGUCAAUCCAAAGGAGUUAUCUACGCCUCACAUACAACUAAACUUGGCAUUGCUCACGUUAAAUUUUCUUAAUAUUCCUAAACCUGGUUCUGUUACUGUUGCCUAAAAACAUUUUUCUGGUAACUGUCACACAGUAAACCAAGGAGGGGAAGUGUAGUGGAAAGACUUUCAAUCUAAUAUGUGGUCAAAAUAUUCUAUAUUAACGUGGGGAAGAGGCUAUGCUUGUGUUUCCCCAGGUGAACAUCAAUCUCCUGCUUGGAUUCCUGCUAGACACCUGAAAUGCAUCCUGAAAAUGCAUGCAACAACAAAACAGAUAAAUUUGUUGAAAAAGAGCCACAGCAGAAGCAACUAACACAUCCCAUCAUCAAAAAGAAGAAAAUGACCACACUAACUCUUUGACAACAGACAAUCCCGUCAGCCAUCCUGAACAACUUGUCUCCAGCAAUCCAGGUUGCUGGCCAGAUCCUGCAAUAGACUACGACCUCUGCAGAACAACAUCUUACUGGUAAAAAGAACAGGCCACAUGAAGGAAAACUGAUUUGGUGGAAAGACAACAAAAAUAGGACAUGCGAAGUAGGGAAGGUGAUAACCUGGGGAAGAGGUUUUGCUUGUGUUUCACCAGGAGAAAAUCAGCUUCCUGUUUGGAUACCCACUAGACAUGUGAAGUUCUACAGUGAACCCAGCGGAGAUGCAAAAGAAAGAGCCUCUGUGGAGACGGAAACACCGCAAUCGAGCACCAUCGACUCACAAGAUGAACAAAAUGGUGAUGUCAGAAGAACAGAUGAAGUUGCCAUCCACCAAGAAAGAGGAGCCCCAACUUGGGUGCAAUUAAAGAAGCUGAUACAGUUAGCUAAAAAAAAAGCCUAGAGAACACAAAAGUGACACAAACUCCAGAGAACAUGCUGCUUGCAGCUUUGAUGAUUGUAUCAGCGGUGGUCAGUCUUCACAUGCCUGCAGGAACAGCUGCAGCUAAUUAUACCUACUGGGCUUAUGUGCCUUUCCCGCCCUUAAUUCGGGCCAUCACAUGGAUGGAUAAUCCUAUUGAAGCAUAUGUCAAUAAUAGUGUGUGGGUACCUGGCCCCACAGAUGACUGUUGCCCUGCUAAACCUGAGGAAGAAGGAAUGAUAAAUUUUUCCACUGGGUAUCAUUAUCCUCCUAUUUGCCUAGGGAGAGCACCAGGAUGUUUAAAGCCUGCAAUCCAAAAGUGGUUGGUAGAAGCACCUACUGUCAGCACCACCAGUAGAUUUAUUUAUCACACGUCUGCAGGUGUACCCAGCAACUCUGAAGAGACAGCGACCAUCGAGAACUGGCCAUGUUGAUGACGGCAGUUUUGUAAAAAAGACAAGGGGGAAAUGUGGGGAAAAGAGAGAUCAGACUGUUACUGUGCCUAUGUAGAAACCUUAACGUCUCUACUUGGGAACGCGGAUCCCAUUUAUUUGGAGUUGAUGUUUUCAGGUGGCUUUCUUCAAGCGUUGUGUUCAUUAACUCUAUACUUAAUCAUAUAGUUUAAAUUUUAUUAUUUACUGCUGACAUCAGUUUCUGUGGUACUGUAGGAGCCUCACAAGAGAGGGCACCUGUCGCCAUGUUGUAAAACUCAUACUUGUCUAAAAGACAUGGGUUAGGGUUUUUCCCCCUCCCUCAAGAUGAAGCUAGUUAGCUGACACAGAUGGUCACCUCCAUUACCAAGUAGAGCCAGGAUGAACUAUGUGUGACCAAAGGUGUUGUCAAGUGCUCUUCCCUGAGGACUGAUUAGUGUUUAUCUUGAAAACUUGUACUUAGUGGGUUGUACAGAACAGUGAAGUUUCUUUCUGUCUUUUUAACCUCUUAGCUGUUUGCCCCUAUUUCCCAUCACAUUCUGGUC